rnacentral:rRNA from 1 species
AGUGAACGCUGGCGGCAGGCCUAACACAUGCAAGUCGAACGGCAGCACGGCAGUAGCAAUACUGUGGGUGGCGAGUGGCGGACGGGUGAGGAAUACAUCGGGAUCUACCCUGUUGUGGGGGAUAACGUAGGGAAACUUACGCUAAUACCGCAUAAGAACUGAGGUUGAAAGCGGCGGACCGCAAGGCGUCGCGCGAUUGGAUGAACCGAUGUCCGAUUAGCUAGUUGGCGGGGUAAAGGCCCACCAAGGCGACGAUCGGUAGCUGGUCUGAGAGGACGACCAGCCACACUGGAACUGAGACACGGUCCAGACUCCUACGGGAGGCAGCAGUGGGGAAUAUUGGACAAUGGGCGCAAGCCUGAUCCAGCCAUGCCGCGUGGGUGAAGAAGGCCUUCGGGUUGUAAAGCCCUUUUGUCCGGAAAGAAAGCAUUCGGUUAAUACCCGGGUGUUCUGACGGUACCGGAAGAAUAAGCACCGGCUAACUUCGUGCCAGCAGACCGCGGUAAACAUACUACG